rnacentral:rRNA from 1 species
GAUGAACGCUGGCGGCGUGCCUAAUACAUGCAAGUCGAGCGAACGGACGAGAAGCUUGCUUCUCUGAUGUUAGCGGCGGACGGGUGAGUAACACGUGGAUAACCUACCUAUAAGACUGGGAUAACUUCGGGAAACCGUAGCUGAUACCGGAUAAUAUUUUGAACCGCAUGGUUCAAAAGUGAAAGACGGUCUUGCUGUCACUUAUAGAUGGAUCCGCGCUGCAUUAGCUAGUUGGUAAGGUAACGGCUUACCAAGGCAACGAUGCAUGGCCGACCUGAGAGGGUGAUCGGCCACACUGGAACUGAGACACGGUCCAGACUCCUACGGGAGGCAGCAGUAGGGAAUCUUCCGCAAUGGGCGAAAGCCUGACGGAGCAACGCCGCGUGAGUGAUGAAGGUCUUCGGAUCGUAAAACUCUGUUAUUAGGGAAGAACAUAUGUGUAAGUAACUGUGCACAUCUUGACGGUACCUAAUCAGAAAGCCACGGCUAACUACGUG